rnacentral:tRNA from 1 species
GCGCCCAUAGUUGAAUGGACACAACUUUUGGUUGCGGACCAAAGAGUGGAGGUUCGAUUCCUCCUGGGCGCA